rnacentral:rRNA from 1 species
GGGAACUGAAACAUCUAAGUACCCCGAGGAAAAGAAAUCAACCGAGAUUCCCCCAGUAGCGGCGAGCGAACGGGGAGGAGCCCAGAGCCAGAAUCAGCUUGUGUGUUAGUGGAAGCGUCUGGAAAGACGCGCGAUACAGGGUGACAGCCCCGUACACAAAAAUGCACAGGUUGUGAGCUCGAUGAGUAGGGCGGGACACGUGGUAUCCUGUCUGAAUAUGGGGGGACCAUCCUCCAAGGCUA